UUAGAUUGCUAGCUAAUCGCUUGUACAUUUAUGUGCCAGAGGAAAGUCCGGGCAGCACAGGGAGAGACAGCCGCUAACGGCGGCCGGGGGUGACCCUAGGGAAAGUGCCACAGAAACAAUACGUCCGAGCUUUGGCUCGGUCACGGUGAAAAGAGUGAGGUAAGAGCUCACAGCUCCCUGCGGUAACGCAGAGAGGAGGUAAACCCUGUCUGCUGCAAGGAGUAGGCUACAAGCGUUCCCGCGACGCCUAUGAUUAAUCCCGCUCGAGCUCGUGAGCAAUCACGCGCCUAGAUAGAUGAUUAGCGACUCGCCUCGGCGAAGGACAGAACCCGGCUUAUCGGCAGUCUGACAAA
rnacentral:RNase_P_RNA from 1 species